rnacentral:rRNA from 1 species
GUGCCAGCAGCCGCGGUAAUACGUAGGGGGCAAGCGUUGUCCGGAAUCACUGGGCGUAAAGCGCGCGCAGGCGGUCAUCUACGUCUGGGGUGAAAGCCCGGAGCUCAACUCCGGGAUUGCCUUGGAUACGGGAUGACUUGAGGAUCGGAGAGGCAAGGGGAAUUCCACGUGUAGCGGUGAAAUGCGUAGAGAUGUGGAGGAACACCUGUGGCGAAGGCGCCUUGCUGGCCGAUUUCUGACGCUGAGGCGCGAAAGCGUGGGGAGCAAACAGGAUUAGAAACCCCCGUAGUCC